UACAGAGGGUGCAAGCGUUAAUCGGAAUUACUGGGCGUAAAGCGCGCGUAGGUGGUUCGUUAAGUUGGAUGUGAAAGCCCCGGGCUCAACCUGGGAACUGCAUCCAAAACUGGCGAGCUAGAGUACGGUAGAGGGUGGUGGAAUUUCCUGUGUAGCGGUGAAAUGCGUAGAUAUAGGAAGGAACACCAGUGGCGAAGGCGACCACCUGGACUGAUACUGACACUGAGGUGCGAAAGCGUGGGGAGCGAACAGG
rnacentral:rRNA from 1 species